GAUACAUGCAAGUCGAGCGAAUCGAUGGGAGCUUGCUCCCUGAGAUUAGCGGCGGACGGGUGAGUAACACGUGGGUAACCUGCCUGUAAGAUUGGGAUAACUCCGGGAAACCGGAGCUAAUACCGGAUAACAUUUUGAACCGCAUGGUUCAAAAUUGAAAGACGGCUUCGGCUGUCACUUACAGAUGGACCCGCGGCGCAUUAGCUAGUUGGUGAGGUAACGGCUCACCAAGGCAACGAUGCGUAGCCGACCUGAGAGGGUGAUCGGCCACACUGGGACUGAGACACGGCCCAGACUCCUACGGGAGGCAGCAGUAGGGAAUCUUCCGCAAUGGACGAAAGUCUGACGGAGCAACGCCGCGUGAACGAUGAAGGCCUUCGGGUCGUAAAGUUCUGUUGUUAGGGAAGAACAAGUACCAGAGUACUGGCUGGUAC
rnacentral:rRNA from 1 species